rnacentral:rRNA from 1 species
CCGCCGGCGACCGGCGCACGGGUGAGUAACACGUAUGCAACCUGGCCGUGACAGAUGGAUAACCGGGAGAAAUCCCGCCUAAUACAACAUAAUGCCGGGAGGGGACAUCCCCUGCCGGCCAAAGGGGGCGACCCCGGUCACGGAUGGGCAUGCGGCACAUUAGGUAGUUGGUGGGGCAACGGCCCACCAAGCCGACGAUGCGUAGGGGUUCUGAGAGGAAGGUCCCCCACAUUGGAACUGAGACACGGUCCAAACUCCUACGGGAGGCAGCAG